ensembl:antisense Plut uncharacterized LOC110295323
AUAACUUGCUUGGGGCCCUUAGGGUCCGGGAGUCCAGGUUCCUCUCUGCAGAAAGAUCCAGAGAGUUUGGGAGUUCUGAGCCUGGCUAGGCCUCUUCUUUCUCCAGCGUGGGAGUUGGCUCCCAGGGUCAUCAUGGAAGAACUCAGGAAGGACAGACAGGGUGGGCCAGCCUAAUCCAGUGAGCUCAGAUACUUGUCGAUGUAUCAGUUCACACUGCAAUCACCUGAAGGCUCAACACAGCAAGAUGUAUAAUGAGACACUCAAUCACCAGAGAACGCAUAUUGGAAAUGGGAUGCCACUAUACCUCUGCCCACCCAUCAGAAAGGCACGAUGAAGAUGGCAGAGUGUACCGGGUUGGUAAACUGUGGAUAUAACCAAUAGAACCACUUUGCCAGACUCUGAGACAGCACCCACCAAAGUUGGAUAUGAAUACCCUACGAUCUAGUCCUGGACCCAGUCCACAGACAAAUGGAGUACUCUAAAGCAAUGAAAAGGUAAACAAACAGCUACGUGCAAAAUACAUGCAAGCGUCCUAAAGACAGUGGAGAACAAAGGAGACAGGAGACAAAGGGCACACAUUGGGACUCUGUUCCGAAUGAUGUUCCAAGCCAGGCAGAGGCAGCUUUACUGGCCGGAAGCAAGACGGGGGGUACUGGAAAGGAGUGUUGGAGCUUCUGGGGUGUGACCAUGGUUUUUCUUGUAUUGGUGGCUGAUUCUAUGGGUGUGGAAUGCUGUGACCCUUUAAUACAAUUCCUCGUGUUGUACUAGCCCCCAACCAUAAAAUGAUUUUUGUUGCUAGUUCAUAACUGUAAUUUUGCUAUUGUUAUGAAUCCUAAUAUAAAUAUCUGAUAU